UACGGAGGGUGCGAGCGUUGUCCGGAAUCACUGGGCGUAAAGGGCGCGUAGGCGGCCUGGCAAGUCGAUGGUGAAAGCCCGAGGCUCAACUUCGGGUCGGCCACUGAUACUGCUGGGCUUGAGUCGACUAGAGGCAGAUGGAAUUCCGGGUGUAGCGGUGGAAUGCGUAGAGAAUCCGGAAGAACACCGGGUGGCGAAGGCGGGUCUGCUGGGGUCGAACUGACGCUGAGGGCGCGACAGCGUGGGGAGCGAACAGG
rnacentral:rRNA from 1 species